CCCCAUGGAGAGAUGGCUCAGUGGUUAAGAGAGUCCUGCUUUUCUCUAACUGCAUGCCAGAGUAACUGGAGAGACUUUGACUACCCAGGCCAGCACAGUGCCUACAGCUGCCACUCGACUUUCCUAUACAU